CGUAGAAGAAAUAUUGACACAUUUAUAUAGUCUUCAAUAAGGAUUUUAAAUUUUUAUACUCCAAAGUAACACAUAUAAAGGCUGAUACAGAUGAUCAAAAGAAGUAAAUCAUGACAGCUACAUAACCCCAUUAUUCCUUCACAAAAAACUAAACUACUAAAAAUUAAUCAGUCCAAUAGAUCUACACAUUAUAUGGAGUAUGAACCAAGAGACUUAUAUCAAAUACUAUUACAUAUAAAAUAUGGAACAUUUAUGUUUAAACAAAUUAAACAGUUAGUUUGUAUAAGUCAUAUGUCUGGAUCUAUGUGUUGAGACAUAAAAUAAUUAUACCAAAAACAAUACUACAAUGGAAGGCAAUUCAUACAAAGAACCAUCACAACCUUUCCUUUUAGAGGAGAAAAUCACAGCAUAGCCAAUUGGGACAACCAAGUGUUUGUGGUGCUUCUUUCAAAAAAGGAGAUAGUGAUAGGGUUUUUCAGUCAAAAGUUAUCACUACACUAUCAACAUAGCAAGGCAAAAUUAUCCAUAGAGAACUCUCAAUCAAAAUACAAAAGGGCAGUACCAAAUAUGAUUAAACCUAAGACUUGACAAGAUCAAAUAUCCAACCAAAUUAUAUUCCGACCCA
rnacentral:lncRNA from 1 species